GACGUAGGAGGCGAGCGUUAUCCGGAUUCACUGGGCGUAAAGCGCAUGUAGGCGGCUGGGCAAGUCCGUUGUUAAAGCCCCUGGCUCAACUGGGGGAGGCCAAUGGAGACUGUUCGGCUUGAGGACAGCAGAGGAGCGUGGAACUCCCGGUGUAGCGGUGGAAUGCGUAGAGAUCGGGAAGAACACCAGUGGCGAAGGCGGCGCUCUGGGCUGUGCCUGACGCUGAGAUGCGAAAGUGUGGGGAGCGAACGGG
rnacentral:rRNA from 1 species